GAUGAAGAACGUAGCGAAAUGCGAUAAGUAAUGUGAAUUGCAGAAUUCAGUGAAUCAUCGAAUCUUUGAACGCACAUUGCGCCCGCCAGUAAUCUGGCGGGCAUGCCUGUCUGAGCGUCAUUUCAACCCUCAUGCCCCUAGGGCGUGGUGUUGGGGAUCGGCCAAAGCCCGCGAGGGACGGCCGGCCCCUAAAUCUAGUGGCGGACCCGUCGUGGCCUCCUCUGCGAAGUAGUGAUAUUCCGCAUCGGAGAGCGAUGAGCCCCUGCCGUUAAACCCCCAACUUUCCAAGGUUGACCUCAGAUCAGGUAGGAAUACCCGCUGAACUUAAGCAUAUCAAUAAGCGGAGGA
rnacentral:misc_RNA from 1 species